AGUUGAUGACUGUAAGGUAGAAACACUCCCCAACCCCUCCACCAACCUACUCCUCUCUUCAUAUGUACACACACAUUUUCUUGCGUAUCUACCCCAUCUGUCCAUUUGUACAUUUUUUCAUAUUCUCAUAUUUCCAAAAUCAUAAUAUAAAAUUUGUUUGCUUGUCAUUUUGCAGCCAGCAUAGAAAGAUCUUCUGCUUCUUUUUUUUUUUUUGGCUGCCAAUG
rnacentral:misc_RNA from 1 species